AAAAACAUGUCCUUUAGAAUUUAAUUUAAGGUCUAGCCUGCCCACUGAAUUAAAUGGCCGCAGUAUUUUAACUGUGCAAAGGUAGCAUAAUCAUUAGUCUUUUAAUUGAAGGCUUGUAUGAAUGGUUGGACGAAAUAUUAACUGUUUCAUAAAAAUUGAUUUAGAAUUUUAUUUUUUAGUUAAAAAGCUAAAAUUUUUUUAAAAGACGAGAAGACCCUAUAGAUCUUUAUAAUUUAUUUAUUAUAGUUAUUUAGAUAAUUUAAAUUAUAAUUGUUUAGAUUAUUUUGUUGGGGUGACAUUAAAAUUUAAUAAACUUUUAAUAUUUUAUUACAUUGAUUUAUGAUUUAUUGAUCCAUUAUUAAUGAUUAUAAAAUUAAGUUACCUUAGGGAUAACAGCGUAAUUUUUUUGAAGAGUUCAUAUCGAUAAAAAAGAUUGCGACCUCGAUGUUGGAUUAAGAUAUAAUUUUGGGUGCAGCAAUUCAAUAAUUAAGUCUGUUCGACUUUUAAUUUCUUACAUGA
rnacentral:rRNA from 1 species